GACGAACGCUGGCGGCGUGCUUAACACAUGCAUGUCGAACGGAAAGGCCCCCACCUUGGUGGGGGUGCUCGAGUGGCGAACGGGUGAGUAACACGUGGGUGAUCUGCCCUGUACUUCGGGAUAAGCUUGGGAAACUGGGUCUAAUACCGGAUAGGACCAUGGUUUAGUGUCUCAUGGUGGAAAAAUUAUUGUUUUGGUGCAGGAUGAGCUCGCGGCCUAUCAGCUUGUUGGUGGGGUAAUGGCCUACCAAGGCGUCGACGGGUAGCCGGCCUGAGAGGGUGGACGGCCACAUUGGGACUGAGAUACGGCCCAGACUCCUACGGGAGGCAGCAGUGGGGAAUAUUGCACAAUGGGCGCAAGCCUGAUGCAGCGACGCCGCGUGGGGGAUGACGGCCUUCGGGUUGUAAACUCCUUUCGUUAGGGACGAAGCCACACCUUUUUUGGGUGUGGUGACGGUACCUUUGUUAAGAAGCACCGGCUAACUACGUG
rnacentral:rRNA from 1 species